rnacentral:lncRNA from 1 species
CUUGUUCCCUUCCUGCCCCACUGGCCUGUUGGGAGGCAUAAGUAGACUCAUAGCAUGCUAGGUCCUCCCUUUUCAUUAUCUUCCUAGGAAAACAGUUACCCAUAGGAGCCCAGAACCUUGCCUAGAGUCACCCUGCCAGCAAGUGGCAGAGCUGCGAUUUGAAUCUGGGGCUUAUGCAUCUGAUUCUGCUGAGGAUGUCAAAUUACCAGGCUUUGGUCUAAGCAGAAGUCAGGGGACAGCAGUGAAAAGAGCACGGUUCCACACCUUGAUGCCGUCUCUCACUUUCCCUCUGUGUGACCUUGGGGUCUCACUCUGUUGCCCAGGCCAAAGUGCAGUGGUGCCACCUCACCUCAGCUCACUGUAACCUCCUCCUCCUGGGCUCAAGUGAUCCUCCCACUUCAGCCUCCUUAGUAGCUGGAACUACAGACAAGAAAGCUGAGGCUCAAAGAAGUUAAGAACUUGGUUGAGCCAAGCAUGGUGGCUCAUGCCUGUAAUCCCAGCACUUUGGGAGGCUGAGGCAGGCAGAUCACUUGAGCCCAGAAGUUCAAGACCAGCCUGGGCAACAUGACAAAACUCUGUCUCUACAAAAAAUAAAAACAUUAGCCAGGCACGGUGGUGCGCGCCUGUGGUCCCAGCUACUCAGGAAGCUGAGAUGGGAGGAUUACUUGAGGCUGGGAGGUCGAUGCUGUAGUGAUCUGUGAUUGUGUCACUGUAUUCCAGCCUGGGCAACAGGGUGAGACCCUGUCUCAAAACAAACAAAUGAAACAAACACACACAAAAUUUUUGGUCAGGAUCAAAUAGCUCUUUAAUGGCCGGACAUGAUGGCUCAUAACUGUAAUUUAAUUCCAGUACUUUGGGUGGCUGAGAUGGGAGGAUCACUUGAGGCCAGGAGUGCAAAAUCAGCUUGGUCAACAUAGUGAGACCUCAUCUCAAAACAAAACAAAAAACAAAACAAACUCAAAUAGCUCCUUCAUGAUAGAGCUAGGAUUGGAACUCAAAGUGUCAAGCUGCAAGUCCAAACUCUUAUUGGGAUCCAAACACCAGGCUAGGUAUCUUUAUUAUUUAAUUCUCUCAACAGCCCAAUUAAGUGUGUAUUGUCCAAAUUGUACUGAUAGGGAGACCGAGGGUCAAAAAAUUGAAGUGAUUUUCUCGUGAUCAUGGCUCUAGUAAGUAGGCAAUGCUGGAUUCAACCCCCUAAAACCCUGUUUCUUCACUUAUCACAAGCAUCUUCCAGAUAGAAGGCUUAUACCUGUAGUGGAAGGAAAAAUAGUGUGUUUGCACUGACAAGUUUGCAAGAUGAUGGAAAUGUUGAGUCAAAUCCAACUAAACAAACAUUUUCCUUCUAAUUUUUCUUAUUAUUUAAUCCUAGGACUUCCUAGAGUCUUUAACACCGUGCAAAAUAUGCACUGUGAGGCUUCGAGAAAGGAUUUAAUAGGCAGCCUUUUCAAAUUUAUUCGACCAUAAUGAUUUUUUUUUUUGAGACCCAUCUAUUAAUAUUUUUUUUGCAGUAGUGUUUCCCAGGACACAAAUUUGAAAAACAUUGCACUAUAUACUUAAGUGACAGCACACACAGAUAAGAAUACAGAUAGAGAAAUUGUUGUUGCUGUUGCUAUUCAGGAGACCAGGAUGGUCUUGAUCUCCUGACUUCGUGAUCAGGUAGUGAUAAGGUUCUCCAGGUGCUUCCCAGAGCUAUCGAGUCUGCCAGGGCCAACCAGCUGCUGUUGGUACUCAGGAGCCCGGCACCCAGAUGUCAUUUGCUUCAUGGGUUCAUUGAACUGGUGUUUGUUGUUGCUGCUGUUUUGCCUGAGCUCUACGGCUUUCUGGCUUCUUCCUACUGGGUUCUAAUGUGGGCUCAAGCAUUUCACAAGGGAGUCUGUUGUUAAAAUCCAAUAAAAUCAAACUCAGAGUAGACAUCAGAAUCAGCACCAGCCUUAGUAUAGGCAGGCAUUGAGCACUUUAGGGCCAUUGUAAUAAUAGCUACCGGUUAGUCAGUGUUUACAAUGUACGGGGCUUAACAUGGGUUGUUUCAUUUAAUCUUCCUGAUAAUAGAGAUACUGUUGCAGAAAUCUCCAAAAGGGCCCUUGUGUGGUCCCAUCCACAUUGAGUUAGGGACUGUCUUGUGUGACUAAUACACUAUCACAUAGGUGAUGCUGUGAGAUUUCCAAGGUUAGGAAUAAAGUCAUUGAGCUUCCAUCUUGGUCUCUUGAAUUGCUUGCUCUGGAUGAAGCCAGCUGCCAUUUUGCCAAGACACUCAAGCAGUACUGUGGAGAGCCCAUGUGGAAAGGAACUAAUUUGUCAGCCAAUGUGAGUGCCCCACCUUGGAAGUGGUUCCACCAGCCCCAGUCAGGCUUUCAGAUGAAUGCAGACCCCAGCUAACAUCUGACUGCAACUUCAUGAGAGACCCUGAAUGAAAACUACCCAACCUGAGGCACUCCUGAAUUCCUGAACUAUAGGGAUGACUAUUGUUUUAAGCCACUAAUUUGUGGAGCGACUUGUUACAAGCAGGAAAUAAUGACUACAGAUACUAUUAGUAUUCCCCAUUUUUCAGAUGAGGACAUCGAAGCUAUAAGAGAGGUUAAAUUGCUUAUUGAAGGUCACAGGGCCUACUCACUCAAGGUCACAGCCAGAGUUUACGUGGCUGAUACAGGAUGCCACAAAGGACCUCUUUCCUCAAUCCCCAAAAUAUUGCCCCAGAAGUCUGCAAUAGUAUCCACAAUUCUAUUUCUGGGCUCAUUUAUUCAGUGUGCUGAUGUGAUAAUACAGAAAGUUUUGGAACCUGUCCAUAUUUUACCUCUCAUGAACUUCAGCUCCUUAGAGAGUAAAUAUCAUCUACCUGGUUGUGGAUAAAAUGAUUGAAUAUAUUGAAAGUUCAGGCAGAUUCUAGGCACUGGAUAUUUGGAAGUUCCCUUCCCUUCCAAUUCCUUCUUUAGCAUUGGGCUUCACUUUGGUGGUGAGGAAAACAGAAGGUUAGCUUAGCCAACAAUCUGUCAUUCUCACCCUAAAGGGAAUUAGCUCAUCAGGAUCCAGUCCUAACUGGCAGGAGACUGAAGAGGCAGGCUUUUUGCUUGGAGAGCAAAGGACAGGAAAACAUAAUUUCUGAGUAUGGUUUACACUGGGAGCAGGCAAGCCUGGCUGGGUGCCCCAGAGAGCUCUGGAACAGCUAGAGGGCAUCAUGAGAGCCUGGAGAAGGCAGAAAUGGGGCCCAGUAACUGCAAUUGGGAGGGAACUUUCUUUCACUGAUUUGCCUAAGGCCAGUCAUUCCUAAAUUGCAUCACCAAAGAUGAUCAUGGUAUAAAGCAUGGUCAAGAAUAGCUGCUUUGGCCAGGAGAAGCUAAGAAAAAAAAGUUGUAAUUCUGUUAGAAGUGUUUUUGUUUUUGUUUUUAAAUGUUAAUCCAUGUAAAGACAUAAGUUCUUGGCCCAGGUAUAAAUACCUUCAGAGAUCCACAAAAAAACAAAGUUACACAUCUUAUUUAGGUCACAUAGCUAAAUAGAGGCAGAGUUUGGUCUAGAACUCAAAACCUACGUUGUAAUCAUUAUGUUUGAUCAAAUCAAUUUGUUUUGGCUUGAAAAGCACACACAUCCCUUCUUCCAAUAAACUUUUUCUCAUUAACAUUGCCAAAGGUUACUUAUUUUGAAUUUUUUCAGCACUAAUAAGUAGUCUGACAUACAUAUUAGAUACUUGAUUAAGCAAGGUUUUUUUUUGAACACUUACUAUGUGCCAGGUACUCUAUCACCUGCUAAGGAUUUAGUAAUGAGCAAAAUGCACAAUUCCCCUGUUGUUAUGAAGGCUUUAUUCAGCAGUGGAUAGGGUGGAGUUAUAAGAUAGUUGAGAAACAGGCCGGGCACAGUGGCUCACACCUGUAAUCCCAGCAUUUUGGGAGGCCGAGGUGGGCGAUCACUUGAGGUCAGGAGUUCGAAACCAGCCUGGCCAACAUGGUGAAACCCCGUCUCUACUAAAAAUACAAAAAUUAGCUGGGCGUGGUGGCAUGUGCCUGUAAUCCCAGCUACUUAGGAGGCUGAGGCAGGAGAAUCGCUUGAACCAGGGAGUAGGAGGUUGCAGUGAGCCUAGAUCUCACCACUGCACUCCAGCCUGGGUGACAGAGCGAGACUCUAUCUCAAAUAAAUAAAUAAAUAAAUAAAUAAGAAAAUAAGAUAGUUGAAAAACAAAAUUAUGUAAUUAACUACAAGGUGAUAAGGAAAAGUAAACAGGAACGGGGGACAGAGACAGGGUUUGUGGAGUAGACUGGUACAAUUUAUAUAGAGAGUGGCCAGGGAAGUUCUCACUGAAAAGGUAACAUUUGAGCAAAGACUUGAACAAGGUAAGAAAAUGAGCCUGUGGUUAUCUGGGGGAAGAGUAUGCCACAAAUUUUAGUAUUACUACGGAAUCAUUCUCUGGUUCUUUCAGGCUUAUAUGUUUAUUAUUCUCCAUCCCCUAUUAAAUUGUCAGGCGUGUGUAUUUCAUCUUCUGCUUCCUUUGGGUCUAAUAGGACUGCUUUCUGCAGAAUGCUAUUUGUACCACAGACUUAAUAAAUGCUUGUUGAAUAUUUUGGUUAAAGUCAUUUUCUCACUAUUGCCCUUUUUAGGCAAGAAAUGAAGGAAAAAGUACAGUAGUAGUUCAGUACUCUGUCCAAUAUUCUAAAUGACUUAGAAUGUACAAACCAACAUCUAGCUGUACUAUCCAACAUUCUGGGUUAACAUUCUUUGCCUUCCAUAAACAUUACAUCUAAAAAUAUUUGCAAAAGUCGUGGCUUCUCCUAAAUUCAAAACAGGAAGCC